rnacentral:rRNA from 1 species
AUUGAACGCUGGCGGCAGGCCUAACACAUGCAAGUCGAACGAGUGGCGGACGGGUGAGUAAUGUCUGGGAAACUGCCCGAUGGAGGGGGAUAACUACUGGAAACGGUAGCUAAUACCGCAUACCAUCGGAUGUGCCCAGAUGGGAUUAGAUUGUAGGUGAGGUAACGGCUCACUUAGGCGACGAUCCCUAGCUGGUCUGAGAGGAUGAGCAGCCAAACUGGAACUGAGACACGGUCCCUCCUCCUACGGGAGUCAUCAGUGGGGAAUAUUGCACAAUGGGCGCAAGCCUGAGGCAACCAUGCCGCGGGUAUGAAGAAGGCCUUCUGGUUGUAAAUUACUUUCAGCGUGGAGGCGUUACCCGCAGAAGAAGCACCGGCUAACUCCCUGCCAGCAGCCGCGGUAAUAC